AAUAGAUACCCCGGUAGUCCACGCCGUAAACGAUGAGUGCUAAGUGUUAGAGGGUUUCCGCCCUUUAGUGCUGCAGCUAACGCAUUAAGCACUCCGCCUGGGGAGUACGGCCGCAAGGCUGAAACUCAAAGGAAUUGACGGGGGCCCGCACAAGCGGUGGAGCAUGUGGUUUAAUUCGAAGCAACGCGAAGAACCUUACCAGGUCUUGACAUCCUCUGCCAACCCUAGAGAUAGGGCGUUCCCCUUCGGGGGACAGAGUGACAGGUGGUGCAUGGUUGUCGUCAGCUCGUGUCGUGAGAUGUUGGGUUAAGUCCCGCAACGAGCGCAACCCUUGAUCUUAGUUGCCAGCAUUCAGUUGGGCACUCUAAAGGUGACUGCCGGUGACAAACCGGAGGAAGGUGGGGAUGACGUCAAAUCAUCAUGCCCCUUAUGACCUGGGCUACACACGUGCUACAAUGGAUGGUACAAAGAGCUGCGAAACCCGCGAGGGUAAGCCAAUCUCAUAAAGCCAUUCUCAGUUCGGAUUGU
rnacentral:rRNA from 1 species